GACAGAGGGUGCAAACGUUGUUCGGAAUUACUGGGCGUAAAGCGAGUGUAGGCGGUUUGGUAAGUCGGAUGUGAAAGCCCCGGGCUCAACCCGGGAAGUGCACUCGAUACUGCCAAGCUAGAGUAUCGGAGAGGUUGGUGGAAUUCUCGGUGUAGAGGUGAAAUUCGUAGAUAUCGAGAGGAACACCGGUGGCGAAGGCGGGUCUCUGGGCCAUAACUGACGCUGAGGAGCGAAAGCGUGGGGAGCGAACAGG
rnacentral:rRNA from 1 species